GAUGAACGCUGGCGGCGUGCCUAAUACAUGCAAGUCGAACGAGAGCGACAGGAGCUUGCACUGGUCAAUCUAGUGGCGAACGGGUGAGUAACACGUGGGUAACCUGCCCAUAAGAGGGGGAUAACAUCGGGAAACGGAUGCUAAAACCGCAUAGGAAUUCGAACCGCAUGGUUUGAAGAGGAAAAGAGGCGCAGGCUUCAGCUGAAGAAGGAACCGGCGGGGCAUUAGCUAGUGGGUGAGGAAACGGCUUACCAAGGCCACGAUGCGUAGCCGACCUGAGAGGGUGAUCGGCCACACUGGAACUGAGACACGGCCCAGACUCCUACGGGAGGCAGCAGUAGGGAAUCUUCCGCAAUGGGCGCAAGCCUGACGGAGCAACGCCGCGUGAGUGAUGAAGGUUUUCGGAUCGUAAAACUCUGUUGUUAGGGAAGAACAAGUGCUAGAGUAACUGUUAGCGUCUUGACGGUACCUAACCAGAAAGCCACGGCUAACUACGUG
rnacentral:rRNA from 1 species